GAUGAACGCUGGCGGCGUGCCUAAUACAUGCAAGUCGAGCGAACGGACGAGAAGCUUGCUUCUCUGAUGUUAGCGGCGGACGGGUGAGUAACACGUGGAUAACCUACCUAUAGGACUGGGAUAACUUCGGGAAACCGGGGCUAAUACCGGAUAAUAUUUUGAACCGCAUGGUUCAAAAGUGAAAGACGGUCUUGCUGUCACUUAUAGAUGGAUCCGCGCUGCAUUAGCUAGUUGGUAAGGUAACGGCUUACCAAGGCAACGAUGCAUAGCCGACCUGAGAGGGUGAUCGGCCACACUGGAACUGAGACACGGUCCAGACUCCUACGGGAGGCAGCAGUAGGGAAUCUUCCGCAAUGGGCGAAAGCCUGACGGAGCAACGCCGCGUGAGUGAUGAAGGUCUUCGGAUCGUAAAACUCUGUUAUUAGGGAAGAACAUAUGUGUAAGUAACUGUGCACAUCUUGACGGUACCUAAUCAGAAAGCCACGGCUAACUACGUG
rnacentral:rRNA from 1 species